GACGGAGGGUGCAAGCGUUGUUCGGAAUCACUGGGCGUAAAGCGCGUGUAGGCGGCCUAGCAUGUCGAAUGUGAAAGCCCGGGGCUCAACCUCGGAAGCGCAUUCGAAACGGUUAGGCUUGAGUACGGGAGAGGGAAGUGGAAUUCCUGGUGUAGAGGUGAAAUUCGUAGAUAUCAGGAGGAACACCGGUGGCGAAGGCGGCUUCCUGGACCGAUACUGACGCUGAGACGCGAAAGCGUGGGGAG
rnacentral:rRNA from 1 species